GAGUCCAACCAUGGAUGCCAUUCUGCAGUGUUUUUACCGACUUGAAACUAUUAUUUGAAGAGGAAAGAAAACAUAAAGCGGGGCCUGACGAAGCGCUGAUUGCGCGAUACGGACCGUCACCCAACCCACUCCCCCACCCCUCUGUUUCCAUCCUCUCUCCCACAUGUGUUGGAACGCUACUAUGCUGUAACGAAAUAAAGAAGCACGUUGUUCGUUCAGACCGGGUGA